GUUGGGUACAGUCGCGUGUGCCUGUAACCGAAGCCGGGACUGGGAUAUGAAUGUACGCGCUGUGGGAUUUCGGGCCUUGGUUGUUCUUCGGAACAGUUUGGUCUUGCAGAGAGUCAGUCCAUGAUGAACUUUGAGUUCAACAUUGGCACUCUUGCGGAAGCAGGGUGUCGAGGUUGUUAAAGAGCUGUGGAAAGCGUGAGGCUAGAAAUAGAGCAGCGAAAAGCAGCCGCUUGAAGUGGUGUUGCGGAUAGCUGGCUUGAGAGAUUCGCCUUGGCUUGCCACGUCGAGUAUCAGACUUCCAUCCCUU
rnacentral:SRP_RNA from 23 species